AUUGAACGCUGGCGGCAUGCCUUACACAUGCAAGUCGAACGGUAGAGUAGCAAUACUUGAGAGUGGCGAACGGGUGAGUAAUAUAUCGGAACGUGCCCAGUCGUGGGGGAUAACGUAGAGAAAUUUACGCUAAUACCGCAUACGAUCUAAGGAUGAAAGCGGGGGAUUCGCAAGAACCUCGCGCGAUUGGAGCGGCUGAUAUCAGAUUAGGUUGUUGGUGAGGUAAAAGCUCACCAAGCCGACGAUCUGUAGCUGGUUUGAGAGAACGACCAGCCACACUGGGACUGAGACACGGCCCAGACUCCUACGGGAGGCAGCAGUGGGGAAUUUUGGGACAAUGGGCGAAAGCCUGAUCCAGCAAUGCCGCGUGCAGGAA
rnacentral:rRNA from 1 species